rnacentral:rRNA from 1 species
CCCUUAGAUGUUCUGGGCCGCACGCGCGCUACACUGAUGCAUUCAACGAGUCUAAAACCUGGUCUGAUAGGGCUGGGUAAUCUUUUGAAAGUGCAUCGUGAUUGGGAUAGAUGAUUGCAAUUCUUCAUCUUCAACGAGGAAUGCCUAGUAAACGCAAGUCAUCAGCUUGCAUUGAUUACGUCCCUGCCCUUUGUACACACCGCCCGUCGCUCCUACCGAUUGAAUGAUCCGAUGAAUACCAUGGAUUGAGAGUACGAAUGGGUUCGCUCAUUUCUGCUGCUCGAGAAGUGGAGUAAAUCUUAUCAUUUAGAGGAAGGAGAAGUCGUAAC